rnacentral:rRNA from 1 species
AAUCAACGCUGGCGGCGUGCCUAACACAUGCAAGUCGAACGCGAAAGUUCCUUCGGGAAUGAGUAGAGUGGCGUCCGGGUGAGUAACGCGUGGGUAAUCUACCUUCGGGUGGGGAAUAACCCAGGGAAACUUGGGCUAAUACCGCAUAAUGCAGCGGCUCGACAUCGAGACAGUUGUUAAAGCAGAAAUGCGCCUGAAGAGGAGCCUGCGUCUGAUUAGCUUGUUGGUGAGGUAAUGGCUCACCAAGGCUGCGAUCAGUAGCUGGUCUGAGAGGACGGCCAGCCACAAUGGCACUGAGACACGGCCCAGACUCCUACGGGAGGCAGCAGUGGGGAAUAUUGGACAAUGGGCGCAAGCCUGAUCCAGCAAUACCGCGUGUGUGAAGAAGGCCUGAGGGUUGUAAAGCACUUUUAAUGGGGAGGAAUACCUGUCGGCGAAUACCCGGCAGCAUGACAUUACUCAUAGAAAAAGCACCGGCUAACCC